rnacentral:rRNA from 1 species
UACAGAGGUGGCAAGCGUUGUUCGGAAUUACUGGGCGUAAAGGGCGCGUAGGUGGCCCACUAAGUCAGACGUGAAAUCCCCCGGCUUAACCUGGGAACUGCGUCUGAUACUGGAGGGCUUGAGUAUGGGAGAGGGAUGUAGAAUUCCAGGUGUAGCGGUGAAAUGCGUAGAUAUCUGGAGGAAUACCGGUGGCGAAGGCGGCAUCCUGGACCAUUACUGACGCUGAGGCGCGAAAGCUAGGGGAGCAAACGGG